GACGAACGCUGGCGGCGUGCUUAACACAUGCAAGUCGAACGGAAAGGCCCUGCUUUUGUGGGGUGCUAGAGUGGCGAACAGGUGAGUAACACGUGAGUAACCUGCCCUUGACUUUGGGAUAACUUCAGGAAACUCGGGCUAAUACCGGAUAGGAGCUGCUGCUGCAUGGUGGGGGUUGGAAAGUUUCGGCGGUUGGGUGUGGACUCGGGUACUCUCACCCUGUUGGUGGGGUAGUGGCUUACCAAGGCUUUGACGGGUAGCCGGCCUGACGGGGUGACCGGCCACAUUGCGCCUGAGCGCCGGCCCAGACUCCUACGGGAGGCAGCAGUCGCGAAUAUUGCACGGUGGGCGGAAGCCUGAUGCAGCACAGAACCGUGCGGGAUGACGGCCUUCGGGUUGUAAACCGGUUGCGCCUGUGACGAAGCGUGAGUGACGGUAAUGGGUAAAGAAGCACCGGCUAACUACGUG
rnacentral:rRNA from 1 species